rnacentral:rRNA from 1 species
GUGCUAAUACAUGCAAGUCGAGCGAAUGGAUUAAGAGCUUGCUCUUAUGAAGUUAGCGGCGGACGGGUGAGUAACACGUGGGUAACCUGCCCAUAAGACUGGGAUAACUCCGGGAAACCGGGGCUAAUACCGGAUAACAUUUUGAACUGCAUGGUUCGAAAUUGAAAGGCGGCUUCGGCUGUCACUUAUGGAUGGACCCGCGUCGCAUUAGCUAGUUGGUGAGGUAACGGCUCACCAAGGCAACGAUGCGUAGCCGACCUGAGAGGGUGAUCGGCCACACUGGGACUGAGACACGGCCCAGACUCCUACGGGAGGCAGCAGUAGGGAAUCUUCCGCAAUGGACGAAAGUCUGACGGAGCAACGCCGCGUGAGUGAUGAAGGCUUUCGGGUCGUAAAACUCUGUUGUUAGGGAAGAACAAGUGCUAGUUGAAUAAGCUGGCACCUUGACGGUACCUAACCAGAAAGCCACGGCUAACUACGUGCCAGCAGCCGCGGUAAUACGUAGGUGGCAAGCGUUAUCCGGAAUUAUUGGGCGUAAAGCGCGCGCAGGUGGUUUCUUAAGUCUGAUGUGAAAGCCCACGGCUCAACCGUGGAGGGUCAUUGGAAACUGGGAGACUUGAGUGCAGAAGAGGAAAGUGGAAUUCCAUGUGUAGCGGUGAAAUGCGUAGAGAUAUGGAGGAACACCAGUGGCGAAGGCGACUUUCUGGUCUGUAACUGACACUGAGGCGCGAAAGCGGGCCUG